rnacentral:rRNA from 1 species
UGGCGGCAGGCCUAAUACAUGCAAGUCGAGCGCGCCCUUCGGGGUGAGCGGCGGACGGGUGAGUAACGCGUGGGAAUAUGCCCUUCUCUAAGGAAUAGCCUCUGGAAACGGAGAGUAAUACCUUAUACGCCCUUUGGGGGAAAGAUUUAUCGGAGAGGGAUUAGCCCGCGUUAGAUUAGGUAGUUGGUGGGGUAAUGGCCUACCAAGCCUACGAUCUAUAGCUGGUUUGAGAGGAUGAUCAGCCACACUGGGACUGAGACACGGCCCAGACUCCUACGGGAGGCAGCAGUAGGGAAUCUUAGACAAUGGGGGAAACCCUGAUCUAGCCAUGCCGCGUGUGUGAUGAAGGCCCUAGGGUCGUAAAGCACUUUCGCCAGAGAUGAUAAUGACAGUAUCUGGUAAAGAAACCCC